AAAAAUUUGUUUCCCUCCUAAUGUGUUUCACUUAGCUCCCCCCCCACCCCCUCCCGCGCCGCAAAAAACCAAAAUCUGACCUUUUACUUAGGUUUUUUUCCCCCAAAAUUUGCUUCCCUCUCUGUAAGCCGUCACUCUUCUUCUCUCUUUCUCUCCAUCCUCAUCGGCCAACACGGCGGUGUAGUCACCGAGGCUCAAGACUUAUUUAAAACCCCAGAAGGACGUUAUAAGCUACACUACGAGAAGACUCACCCUUAAGGUCUCCUUCAUUAUGCUCAUGGCAAAACCGUCACUCAGUUGCUGCAAUAGAGAAUGGUGUGUUUACUUCUCUAGAGAUGGCAAAGUCAUUUGAUUUCACUUCAGAGGAGCGAAUAUACAAUUGGGCAUUGUUGGCCUGGAAACAGAAUAUGGCACUCUUCAUAUAAAAAUCAAUGCUGGAGAAGGAAAUCAAAAUGUGGAUGAAGACACAGAAGAUGAUUUUGAGGAGAAAGAUGACUUAGAUGGCUCUCAGAAGGAGAAUACUGACUCAAAUGAUGAUUGAUCUUCCAAUAUUUAUGUUUUCAAGUUUGGUGAAGGAUACUAUAGCUUUCAUGUAGUCGUUUUAAUUAAUAUUUUUUAUUCUAAUUUAUAGACAUUUUAAUAUUUUUUUAUUGCAUUAUGCACUUUCUAGAUUUGGACAAUUAUGGAUUUGUGCUUGUUAUUUGAAUUGAAAAACUUUUGGGAGAUUUAUGUUUCCUCGCAAUUAAAAUAUUAGAAAUGAUCUCUCUUUUAUUA